GACGAACGCUUGCGACGUGCCUAAGAAAUGCAAGUCGAACGGGGGAGCAAUCCCUAGUGGCGAACGGUCGCGUAACACGUGGGCAACCUGCCCUGGAGCGGGGGACAACAUUCCGAAAGGAGUGCUAAUACCGCAUACGGUGGGGAUCGGCAUCGAUCCCUUACUAAAGGAUUUAUUCACUCCAGGAUGGGCCCGCGGCCUAUCAGCUAGUUGGUGGGGUAACGGCCUACCAAGGCUUCGACGGGUAGCGGUCUGAGAGGACGAUCAGCCGGAUUGGGACUGAGAUACGGCCCAGACUCCUACGGGGGGCANCAAUUAGGGAAUCUUGCGCAAUGGGCGAAAGCCUGACGCAGCGACGUCGCGUGGAGGAUGAAAUCUUUCGGGAUGUAAACUCCUUUUACCAGGAAGAAGAAUGUGACGGUACCUGGGGAAGUAAGCCCCGGCUAACUACGUGCCAGCAG
rnacentral:rRNA from 1 species